UACGUAGGGUGCAAGCGUUAAUCGGAGUUACUGGGCGUAAAGCGCACGUAGGCGGCUUUGUAAGUUAGAGGUGAAAGCCUGGAGCUCAACUCCAGAAUAGCCUUUAAGACUGCAUCGCUUGAAUCCAGGAGAGGUGAGUGGAAUUCCGAGUGUAGAGGUGAAAUUCGUAGAUAUUCGGAAGAACACCAGUGGCGAAGGCGGCUCACUGGACUGGUAUUGACGCUGAGGUGCGAAAGCGUGGGGAGCAAACAGG
rnacentral:rRNA from 1 species